GACGAACGCUGGCGGCGUGCUUAACACAUGCAAGUCGAACGGAAAGGCCCCUUCGGGGGUCCUCGAGUGGCGAACAGGUGAGUAACACGUGAGUAACCUGCCCUUGACUUCGGGAUAACUUCAGGAAACUGGGGCUAAUACCGGAUAGGAAUCCUUGCUGCAUGGUGGGGGUUGGAAAGCUUCGGCGGUUUUGGAUGGACUCGCGGCUUAUCAGCUUGUUGGUGGGGUAGUGGCUUACCAAGGCGUUGACGGGUAGCCGGCCUGAGAGGGCGACCGGCCACAUUGGGACUGAGAUACGGCCGAGAUUCCUACGGGAGGCAGAAGUGGGGAAUAUUGAACAAUGGGCGGAAGCCUGAUGCAGCAACGCCGCGGGCGGGAUGACGGCCUUAGGGUUGUAAACCGCUUUCAGCAGGAGCGAAGCUUGUGGUGACGGUACCUGCAGAAGAAGCACCGGCUAACUACGUG
rnacentral:rRNA from 1 species